AAAGCUCCCCCAAGAUCAUCAAUCAUGUGAGAAGAUUGAAGUUUAGAGGAGGAGCAACGCUCCGGCCAUCGAUUCCAAUGAAGCCCCUCUUCUUCUUUUUUUUCUUUCUUUCUUUUUUUACUUUUAGCCACAAAACAGAAGCAGGCCAUCUAUCCCUUUUAAUAUUUAGCUCCAUCAGUGCUAACAUGCCUUCGUGGCCGUAUUGAUAGGUCCAACGCAUAAAGGCUCCAUUUGGAGCUCGGUGACAUUUUUUGAUGGUGAAAAUUAAUUAUUCACAGGUUAGGAUUAAGCGCUCAGGGAGAUGGGCUGUGGCUACUGUUGGAGGGUCAACAACUCUCCCAGCAAACAAAAAUACCCAGCCAGUGCUGCAUAUGGAGGGCCGAUUAUACAGACAGCGGAGUUGAGCAACAAAGGAAAAUGAUUUAAUAAAUGAAACCGUGACAACAGUUAUGUUUGUUGGCAUAAAGUGAGGAGGGGUGGGGGAGGAAGAUGGGAUGUGCAGGACUGCAGGCUUUGACAAACGGCUGUAUGUGUGGACAUUUCGACGCGCAAUACCCCGGGAAGGAGCUGCAGAGUUGCGCGCAGAGGGAGCCAGGGCGCUCACCGUCUCCAGGUCUCUGUGUGCGCUCUGUAAACACAGCCGGUCCGGCGCGCCGUGCCGCUUGAAGACUCUGAUUCUCAUAACCUAAACACCGCCGGUCUCAUUGAGUUCUGUGCUAACGAUUGCAUCUCUUAUUUUUAUUUUAUUUUUUUCAACCACUAUCCCUUUGGAUGACCCAUGGUCCUUCCACGCUUGCAUUGUCGGCUGGUUUCCUCCAAGGAGAUCGCCGGGAAGUCCGCCUGAACGCAGCUGCAUUCACGUGGAGCGACGCGUUUUGAUAUUCAGGUCACACCGGGGAGCAAACACUGCUCUCCUGUUCAAUAAACAACAUUGAUAAGGCUCCACAUCCGGCCAUUUACAAAUACUGACGUUGACACUACCAGCAACCGCAGUUAAUAUUUUUGAAUGCUCAGAUAUGUCAAUUUCAGAUAUAUUAGUUUAUUUAAAGUAAAAUUUCAAAAUGCUUCUAGCUUUGGAGGUGUCCUUCAUGUUGUGUCCACAUUAAAGUCACAGAAAGUUGACUUUUGAGUUGUUCCUCUGUUUAUUUCUACACACUGGCUCAUUAGUAACAUGCCAAUGACUCCUCUUUCUCUCUCUCUCUCUCUCUCUCUCACACACACACACACACACACACACACACGCACACACACACAGGGACUCACCCAUCCAACCACAAACACACAGACACGCACACACGCACACACACGCCUACAUGUAAUCAAAUGACCCAGCCUAAGAGACAAAACCUAUUAAUUUGGAUUAUGUGCACCAUGUCCUCCCUUCCACAUUCAUCUGUGUAACUUUCCCUGUGUGACCUCAUGUUUGCUCUGCUUCACAGCAUGACACAGAAAAACCACUGAGGAAUUCUCUGCUAACACACUCGACUUGCUAAGCAAAACCUCUUACUCACGAUACCGGCAGAAUACAACGCAUGUAAACAAAUGCAUAUAAGUUUUGUUUGUUUUUGUACCCCUGUUUUUUUUUCCUGCUUAUGUUAUCCAUGUUCCAUCUGAUAUCCAGAUAGCUCUCCCUCUUCCUCCUCCCCCCGCUCCCCCCAAGCCCCUUCAUUCACUCCCUGCUCUCUGGUUCUGCAGGAGUUCACACGUCCGAGCGAGGCUACCCAGGUAAUUACCUGGCAUUGUCAAAUAAAGCGACCACUGAUUCAAAUUAGGAGUGAAAUAUCAAAGAGCAGCGUUGCCUCUGCAGCCAGCACUUAUCCACACAGGAGACACGAGAGGAGAUCUGAGAGCUCUGGGGACCUGCAGGGAGGCGGCAACAAAAACACUCUGCCUUCUCCUUCCUAGAUAAAUAUCACCAAUGAAAGCAACAGAACCCAACAUGCCCAGGUCAAAGGCUGAUAUAUGUGGAUAUGAUCACACUCCAGCAGGGGGGUCAGGACACGUUCUCGCUCUUCCAUUACGGCAUUUCUUCCGUGUUUCUGCAUCAGAUACAAAGAGAGAACUAGAGAGAAGUCAACCACCGGGAUUAGAAGUGAGUAGCGCAUUAAGGUUUGGCAGCAGAAAUGAGCUGCACAACCACACACUCAUUCAUAACGUGCAAUGUUUGUCUUUGAUUUUCCUCCCACUUAAAUCUACAAUCAGCUUCCCAAACCAGCCUGAAUCCUCCUGUUUUGUUUGUUUUUUCCUUCUGCUGCGUCGUACGGCAUAAUCUAAUACCGUGUGUAAUUUCUUCAUCUUGAUUUCGGUGCUCACCAACAACAGGACCUUUGACACUUUGACACAGCAAGUGGAGGGUGAUCUCGAUGAACAAUGUCACUGCACUUGGAAGGGGGGAAAACAAAGGAAAAGAUUAUUUCUGAUCUCCCUUCAUGUUCAAACUAGACAAGGUGCGUCCAGGGAUUUCACCUCAGCACAAAAUAAGGGGGACGUGUAAUUUGACUUGCCACAUCUCGAUGGAACCUGAACGGGUUACAUUUUGCAACAACAAAUAAAAUGCUUUCCAUGCUUUAGUACGUGUUUUUCGUGGUUGGAGGCGAAACGGGUUUGCAGACGAUAUUUGAGUGUUUAAUGCUGUAAACACACAGUUUUCCCUCCCUCUGGCAUAUGGAUGGCUCCCAGGGACACUUUACAUGUAAAUAUUCAUAGAGAGAUGGGAUGGGCUAUUAAUUAUUAAGCACAGUAAAAAAUUAAAAAAAGUGUAAUACUUCAAUAUUACACACAUAUGAAUCCUAAUUUUUUAUUUGCUGCAUAUGUUCAGCUGAGAGGAGUCAUAAUUUGAAAAAAGGAUUUUUAUGGUAAAGAUUUUAAAAAAAUGAGGAAGAACUCACUGCUGACUUCUAAGAAAUAGAGUAUUAAAUAUGAAAGAGAGCAUGAGCAAUAUUUAUGAAUAUAUAUAAGUAACAUAUGAUCUAUACAUUAAAAAAAAGUUAGUGUUUUUCUUCAAGUUAACUCAUAAUCUGGACCCAUGUCUUCCUUGGGUCUUCCAGGAGGAAGUUUGAGCUCUCACGGUUUAACUUUUCAAGUGAAAUACACGAGCACAUUCCUCCAGAUUCCUUUUUUUCCCCUAUUUUUGCCUUGCGGCCCGCGGCUUUUGACAGAUUGUCACACUGUGAUGGAGUUAGAGCUGUGAAGGGGAGAGAAGUCCUCACCUGAGUUUCACACUGCAGAUAUCUGACAACCAAGUAAGUAGAGACAGGAUAUAAUUAUGCUCAAGAACUGAGGGGUGUGGGGGAAGAACUUUUGAACCUGAAUGUUGAUUAUUAUUUUUCUUUAGUUUUUAAUUGCCUGCUGAGCAGCAGUAACCUUUUCAUUUUAUUUAUAUAUAUAUAUACACAGAAGUCAGGAAAUGGUUCAACAGUUCCUUGGACCAAUUUUAUUAAGAGUUACAAAAACUGGCACACAAGUAGCAUGCUGCAAGGCAGACAACAAAACGUCUUGGAGAUACUGUAUGCCCUAAGCCCACCAGGAAGUCAGCCAUUUUGGAUGACAGUUGUGUUUUAAUGAACUCCUCAAAAGUUUUGACUUGUUGUCAUUUCAUUAGAUUCACUGUUGUUAACUUGCACUUCAGAAAACAAUCCGUGUACCAGUUCAAUUGUAAGCAAGAUGCUUAUAUAAUAUCUCACUUACACGUGUAGGCAAAUCAUUAUUACAAUGACAACAAAGUAUUGAAUCAUCGUAAUGGCUGAGAAAAUAUAGUUUUACAAGCUGCACAGCAAAGACCCGUUGAUUUAGAUGCAUGAGGCAAUAUUCAGUUUAUCUCAGUAUGAUGGCUCUCUUUCUGUUGCAGAUAUGACCUGAAUUGCUUUUCACUAAUGAGCACCAGAACGAAACAACCUCGAUACAAUCGGUUCAGAUCCUAUUGUGCAAGUGACAGAAAUGAACUAGAGAUUCCCAUUACUUGUGGUGAUGUGAGUAAUAAUCUAAAAGGACACUGAUGUUCUCUAAGAUCCCUGUCAUUCAGUGCUUGCCCCCCCACUCACCCAAUCAACUCCCCCUAAAAAUAAUAUUAAAAAAAACAACUCCUCUGACUUAUCUGAGUGGAAUUGAAUUAACAAUUUCCCUUGCUGAUUUGCUCUUUUAAAGCCCCUCAUUACACAAAAAACAUUGUAUAAAUGAUCAAAUCCCUUAGUAGAAUAUUGGAGGAAUGCUCCGAGAUGAUCCCAUCAUCACCAAGAAGUAAUAUUAUAAUCAAUUAGCAUGAAUGAACUAAUUGUCCAAUCUCUCACUUGCUAAUUAACUCUGGAAAUAAAGUGGGACAAACUAAUGCAGCAUUUUUAUCUUUUAUUUUUUUUCCGAGAGGUUGCACAAAUUGAGUUUGUGCUCUGGUGAAUGCGUGGCUGAUGUUCCUUCUGCAGGGUUCGGUUUCUUAAUAUGUAUGAGCCACAUCAAAGAGGAAGCGACAGAAGUGGGGCCUGUAUGAAAGCGGGGCAUGUUUAAGAUCCCAGUGAUGCAAAUGCAUUGGUUCUUGUUGAACGCUGGUGUUUGCAUAACAUCAGUUGACACAGUCUGUGAGAGCUUUUCUGUGCCACUUGUGUACAGAGUACAAAACACACUGUCCUCUGGGAGGUUUUAUUUUAAAAGGCACACUCAAAGCUGAAUGCAGAUGAGGGCAAAAAAUUGUCCAUAUUUUCGACUUGCGGCAGGCUAAAUGUGACUCAAAUGCUACCGUUGUAUGGUAAGCAGGCUCAGAGUUUAUUGCAUAGUGAUCAUCACAUGGAUUGCCAUGUUAUUUGUGUUUUUCAUGCUGCAGUUUUGUAUUUUGCCCAGACAUGAGGCUGUCACCACUGCUGGUGCUGCGUUCAAUAUUACAGAGCGCAGGUUCACAGCGACUACAAGCAACAAUCAAAUCUGGUGGAGACGGUCCAGGGAAGCUUAAACAACUGUACCCCCAUGUUGCUCAGGAGCUGUUCAUCACAACUGCAU